AAAAGUUGCUUUUAAGAUGUCAGGCUCAUAUUUUGGUAACUUGGUUACCAAAACGUAAUCUUUAUGAUCAGACUAGCAGUUAGAGAAAUGGAAGUAUCUACACAGGUGAUGGACUUAAAAGUUAAUCCAAACCCCCAAAGAGAUUUUUUUUUCUAGGGAUUAUUUUGUUUUUAAUCCUUUUUGUAGUGCCCAAACUGACUCCAGUCUGAACCAGAAUUAGAGAUGGUAAAAUGAAGUGCACAAACCAAUCAAAAAUACCCAAGUCCUUCCCUUUUUUUUUUUUUUUUUAAAGUACAGUGUGGUCAAGGUUUUUACCACCAGCUUCAUGUGAAGAGUCUAACUCUGUAGUCUGGGAGAGGUUUAAGUUUGACAAUUGCCUAAAUAAUUUCCCCUAUUUAUUUAAUGAGUAAAGUUCGAAAAUCCUCUGCCAGAACUUUGUAAAUCUGUCAUCUCUGUUUCCAGAUGAUUUGGGAAAGUCGGUACACACCAGUCUCUCACACCUGCAGCAGCGUGUUGCCUCCACCAGGGGGCAGUACAGACUCAAACAAUUGAAAUACAGGCUUCCUCUCGGGUUACAUUCUGCCCUUUAAAGGAUAUGUUUGGAAAAUGAGGUUUCCUUUGAUUGGACAGUGAAACCGAUCUCUGCAGCAUAUUCCUGUCCCAGCACAAGACAAAAAGAAAUUUACUAUUUAAAAUCCCUUUUUGAAUGCCCACAUAUUUGUGAAUUGUCCCUUUAUAAGCGGGACUCUGCAGGGCUAUGAACAGGUGAUUGUCAAAACCCUGUACUGUCAAAGGGAAAACGUAAUUUUAAAAAAGUACAAUUGCAGUCAAACUUAAAGCACAAACUGUGAUUCAGAAAAGGUUUUUUUUUUUAAUGACCUAUCACAUUACCUAUCCAAGUGUAUCUAUUUGUUGAUGUUUUUGUGUCUUCAUGGUUGUUUUUCGUCUCCUUGUAGUCAUUUCCUAUCAUUCUGUGACAUUUUUAUGUUUCUUUGUGGUUCAGUUUUGUGUCUUUGUACAUAUGUGUUUCUUUGUUGUUGCUGUUUUUAUUUUCUGUGUUUUCAAAGUUUCAUGUCUCUGAAUUUUGUUGUUGCUCAUCUUUUUUACAUUUGUUCUGUAGUUUUGUCUUUGUAGCUGUUGUCAGUCCCUCUCUAGUUGACUGUCUUUUAAAGAUAUUUCCCGUCUCUUUUGAUAGUAUUUUUGCAGCCCUUUGCAGCUGUUUGGUCUGUCUCUUUUCCUCUGUGUAUUGCUUUUGUUGUUUUUCUGUUCUUGUUUGUCUUUUUUAAUCACACUGACCCACUCUGUGAUAGUGUUUUGGUCCCACGUGGUCAUUUCGUGUGUCCUUGUGGUUGUUUUGUCUGUUUGCGGCCUCUAUGCGUCUCACUCUUGUUGUUUGCAUAUCUUCGUGGUCUCUUUGUGUCAUCCUCUCAUCAUCUAUUUUUAUGAUGGAAAAUGCUGAUGAUAUAAUGGCGUCUUGAAAAAAAACUAGGGUAAAGUUCAGUGAAAGGAACAAUUCGAUCCCACCAGAUCCAAAACAGCUUCCACGCCAAGUCCUAACACGAAACAGCGGGCUGCAUAGAUCACAUGAUGCAUGUGUGUUUGAAGUCAUGUGACCUGUUUGCUGAGGAAAACAGUUGAGAAAGUGGAAAGUACAUGACCUCGGAGUUACACAUUCAGAAGAUGAUCUUAAAGAGUUCCUCUUUAAGAUCAGAAAAUGUGCGGCAAUCUCAGAGUCUUCACCUCAAUGAACAGAAACUGUUCGUUGAUAAUGAAUUCCAACUCAGCAACACAGUGAAUUUUAACUUGAAGAAACUACCUUCAACGAACACACCUCUUAAACUUUUACAGGAAAACUUCAUGUACUAUUUACUUCAAAUGUAAAACUAUUUAACUGUUUUCCUUUAGCCCCAAUGGCCUAUAUCACUGAGACCACUCAGACCAAUAAGAUUACCAGUAUAUUUUAACUGUGUGGUUUCUGAAAACCUGAGGCUUGUUAUUUUACUAUUCAAACUUUUACUAACCUUUUAGAUGCUAAAGACUUGAGGCUUUGACUACAGAUCAGGUGACUGCGUGAACAUUCACUGUAUUCACAGUAACACCAUCACAACUGUAUUAUAGGACAGUAAGAAAUGGUCACGUCAGUGGUCAUAUCAGUGACUGAUUCAACUACGUGUUAUAGUUUUAUAAAUGCGCAAGAGUACACUGAGGCAGUGUUCACGCCAGUCAUAAAUGAAACUGUUUGUGUAUACAUGACUAUUUUGUGUUAGUUUGCUUCAUUCACAGAAAUAACUUGGAUCAUUUACUUGUCAAACUGUGUUUAUGCCCAAAGGCACAGCGUUACUCAGGAGAGGAGGGGAUUUCUUUCACAUUAUUCAGUCUGUAUUUAGAUUGUUCACAUUCUGAGGAUUUGUCGUGUUUUCACAUCUUAUCAGAUAUUCAGACCUCUUGACUCACUUUCCCCACGGCCAGCUCCUUUUUAUUCCUGUUUCUAUUAACUAAAUGAGUGUUUCUCAGAACUCAGGCUAGCUUCACACUCUCGCCGUCAGUUUGUCUUCCAUAUUCCAGAUUAAUGUACCUCCAUUAGUCCGUUCUUGACCAGCAUCGCCAGGGAGAUCUCCAUGCUGACUGGCUAUUGAGGCAUGAGUGAUUGGAUAUUUUAGCUCUUGUUUGUUUAUUUGGAUCCCCAUUAGCUUAAGCAUCAGCUGUAGGCUAUUCUUCCUGGGGUCCAUUAUCUGCAUCCAGGGUGAAAACAAUAUUAGACACAAACAGUGCUUUCACGUCUGGCCAGCUAUCACUUACGUAUGUCAUGAUUUUCUUCCUCUUGUUCCACCUCUGAGGGAGGAACAGAGGCAGAGCUUUAUUUCCAUUAC